GUCUUCUCCGCCUACAAAUCAGUAUGAGAAAUCCAGUUAGUCAGAACUUUUCCAUUAUUUUGCAGUAUUUAGUGCUCAAGCCAAAGUCUCCUUGGAGGGCUUUGAAAUUACUACAGCCAAGAGCAGGGGAGCACAGAAGGACAGUGCAGCUGAGCAGCAGAACAGAGCGCAGGUGGGUUCUGUUGCUCCCAGCACCCGACACAGACAGAGAGGAUGGAGCACAUGUGCUUCC